AAAAAAUAUUAACGAAUAGGUAAAGUUUAAAAAGAAAAUUGCUCGAAAACAAAAAGGGAAAAACAAAAAAAAAGAGCUUCCUCAACUUACCACUUUUACAAAUGAAUCAACAAAUAAAAAGAAACAAAAAGUACAACAAUAACGACAUCAACUCCUCCACUUCACACAUCCUCAGUUCCCACCAUGCAAAACCAAAAUUCCCAACCCUAAUAGAAUUUGUUUUUUCCUUCUACAUUAUUUUUCUCUCAAAUUACAGCAGACACAUAUACACUCUUUCUCUCUUAUUUAACUCUCUGCUCCUCUAUUCUCUUUCAAAUCUCUUCCGGUGCGAUUGGAUCUGAGUGACUUCUUUUACCAAAUAUCCACUUGGUUCAGUUCAAUCCGGAAGAGAAAACUCCCUGAAUUUCUAAUCUUUAGCAGUUGUUAGGGUUUAUUUCUAGAAUUUUUGAGAAAUUAGGGGUGAUUAGAGAUUGUUGCAAUUAGGGUUUUAUUGUGUUUUGACUUUCGGGGACUAGUUUUUCCUUUUUUCCUCUUCUGAUUGAUUUUUAAUUCUUUGUUUGGAGUUGUUGAUUUGAAGUGGGAAUCCGUGGUGGGUUGGGUUAAAGGUGGAAUUUUGAACAGCCAAUGCCAUAUUUUUUGGAUUGGUGUUCAGCAAAUUUUUCGGUGAUUUUUUUAGUACCGAAAAAGUUAGAGCUCGAAGUUAUCAAUGUCUUGGGCAGGCCCGGAAGAUAUCUAUCUUUCUACUUCUCUUGCUAGCUAUCUUGAUAAGAAGCUACUUGUGCUACUGCGAGAUGGUCGGAAGCUCAUGGGAAUACUUCGUUCUUUUGACCAAUUUGCUAAUGCCGUUCUUGAGGGUGCAUGUGAAAGAGUUAUUGUUGGUGACCUCUAUUGCGAUAUCCCUUUAGGUCUAUACAUUAUUCGAGGCGAGAAUGUUGUUUUAAUUGGAGAGCUGGAUUUGGAGAAAGAGGAACUUCCUCCACAUAUGACUCGUGUUUCAGCAGCGGAAAUUAGACGGGAAAUUUUCCGAAAUCACGCGGUUGUAUAUUUAAUUCUGUGGAGUUUCUAGAAGAAGCCUUGUGUUUUCUGCAAUUAUUGUAUGCACUCGUUCUGUCAUGGUCAAAGUUAGUAGCUUCUUAGUUUGGUUUGGUAUCAUCUAUUUUCUCACAAUAGUCAUCGCUCAGUCACAUUCAUCAGCUCAGUAGCUUCUUAGUUUGGUUUGGUAUCAUCUAUUUUCUCACACAGUCAGUAUCACCUGUUAUGGUGCCACCACAAGCAGUGACUUGUUGGACGCCUGCAGUCUACAUGAUCCAGGACGUCUAUGGCGCAAAAAGCCGAAAGGGAUGCUACGGAUCUAAAAGGUACAAUGAGGAAGAGAAUGGAAUUCCUUGAUUUGGACUAGUGCAUCCCCUGCAACCAGGUUAUAUGGUCCGCACAUAUUUUAGCGGUCAAUUGGUGUAUGGGGUAUUAGUUGGUUCUCUUCCUUUUCUCUAAACUUGCUGUAACAUUUUUUUUCAAAGAAAUGUAUUUGAAAAAUUUAUUCAGUACUUUGUUCUGUGAAAUUUCAAUUCCAAGUUUGAAUGGGGUGUAGGUUAGUAUUUCACUGGUCCCAUUUUUCCGCUUCCAUAAUGUAUUGGAUGUUUUAAGGUGUAAUGGCUCUGUACAAUCAAGGAAAAUUAGAAUCGCACUUUUCACGCAGUA